rnacentral:rRNA from 1 species
GAUGAACGCUGGCGGCGUGCCUAAUACAUGCAAGUCGAGCGAACACACCAGGACCUUGCUCCUCUGACGUUAGCGGCUGACGGGUGCGUACCACGUGGAUAACCUACCUACAAGACUGGGAUAAUAACGGGACAUCGGAGCUACUACCCGAUGAUAUAUCGUACCGCAUUGGUCAAUAGUGAAUGUCGCUUUUGCUGUUACUUAUAGAUGGAUCCGCGCCGCAUUAGCUACUUGGUUAGGUAACUGCUUACCAAGGCAACGAUUCGUAGCCGACCUGAGGGGGGGAUCGGCCACACUGGAAAUGAGACACGGUCCAGACUCCUACGGGAGGCAGCAGUAGGGAAUCUUCCGCAAUGGGCGAAAGCCUGACGGAGCAACACCGCGUGAGUGAUGAAGGUCUUCGGAUCGUAAAACUAUGUUAUUAGGGAAGAACAAAUGUGUAAGUAACUAUGCACGUCUUGACGGUACCUGAUCAGAAAGCCACGGCUAACUACGUG